rnacentral:rRNA from 2 species
CGGCGACGCUGGCGGCGUGCCUAUUACAUGCAAGUCGAGCGAAUCUGAUGGGAGCUUGCUCCCUGAUGAUUAGCGGCGGACGGGUGAAUUCCUAACGAGGUAACCGCCUGUAAGACUGGGAUAACUCCGGGAAACCGGGGCUAAUACCGGAUAACUUUUUUCUUCGCAUGAAGAAGAAUUGAAAGAUGGCUCCGGCUAUCACUUACAGAUGGACCCGCGGCGCAUUAGCUAGUUGGUGAGGUAACGGCUCACCAAGGCGACGAUGCGUAGCCGACUUGAGAGGGUGAUCGGCCACACUGGGACUGAGACACGGCCCAGACUCCUACGGGAGGCAGCAGUAGGGAAUCUUCCGCAAUGGACGAAAGUCUGACGGAGCAACGCCGCGUGAGUGAUGAAGGUUUUCGGAUCGUAAAACUCUGUUGUUAGGGAAGAACAAGUAUCGUUCGAAUAGGGCGGUACCUUGACGGUACCUAACCAAAAGCCACGGCUAACUACGUGCCACACCGCGGUAAUACGUAGGUGGCAAGCGUUGUCCGGAAUUAUUGGGCGUAAAGCGCGCGCACGCGGUUUCUUAAUUCUGAUGUGAAAUCUUGGGGCUCACCCCCCAGGGGGCAUUGGAAACUGGGAAACUGCGUGCAAAGAGGAAAAUGGCAUUCCCCCUGUACCGUGAAUUCGCCGAGAGUGUGACGAGGCAUUUGGGCAGGCGCCCCUGGGUUUGCAGGCCCGGGGGGAAAACGGGGGAGGAGCUGGCAUGGCGUCCGU